ensembl:lncRNA
GCUCCACUGUGUGUAAACACCACAUCUUUAUCCAUUCAUCUGUUGAUGGAUAUGUAGGGUGCUUCCAAGCGUUAGCUAUUAAAUGAGUUGUGCAGCUAUAAACAUGGUCCAUGUGCAUGGAUCACCAUAAAACGAGGUCUUCAACUCUUCCGGGAAGAUUCCUAGAAGGGAGACUAGCCGGAUCAGACGGAGGUUUCUAGUUUUACUUUGUUGUUGUUUUUUAGUGGUGGCAAAGUUUUACAUUUGUUAAAAGUUGUGGAGAGCGGUGUUAGCCAAAGAGGCUCCAUUUUGAAUCUUACCCUCCAUUGUAUAGAGCAAGGAGACUAUGUCAUGAGGAACCGGCGUCCUUGUGAAGUAGAUUGCCCUGGAACGUGAUGAACGUUCUGUAAGCCCGAGAAACAAGGAAGCCCAUGAGGGUGGGGAAUUCCCAAAGGACUAGAAAACAAGGAAGCAGGUGUCUCUGGAUGAGGGUCAUGAUGAACAACCAAACUCACCUGCUGUAUAAAAAGAGAGGCGAAAAAUAAACUUGAGUGCUCGGUCUCUGGGAGCCCUCCCGACUCUAUCUCUUUGUCUUUAUUUUUCUUCAUCCUCACUCCCCCAUUCAGGUGCUGUUCGACAAGUGAUGGCGUGGCUCCCGUCAGAAAGUAGGUGGGGAAACCCAGAAGGGUAGGGAAAAAACAGGCUCUGGAGGGAAGAAGAAAUAAAAUUACACCCUACAGCGUGUGGUGCGUUUUUGUGAGAAAUCUCACACUGGUCCCCACAGGGGUGGUACUGUCUACACUGCCAGCAACAGUGUAGACGAGUCCCUGCCGUAAAUCCACGUGCCAGGCCCUGCUCACCCUGCUGCCCUCAUUCACCUCUGCUCACUCUGCAGACACCGUGGAGGCCUCACGGGGCCCUGUGUGCACUGUGGGCCUCCCUCCCCUGCUGUAACUUGGGAGCGGAACAGAGAGCCCUGGGAGCCUGAGCUCUGACAGCCUUCUCCUGGGAGCCUGACCUCGGGUCACACUGACAGUCACUCAGCCCAGGCGGGACACGCUCCCCUCGGGUUGGCAGAAGCCACUGCUCCUCCUGGCAAGGUCACUGGGCUUCCCACAUCACCGGAGUCCAGGUCAGUGCCCACCUGCCCUUUCCUUUGGGCAGGAGCAGAGUCCAAGAAAACUGGCCACUGUUGGAAAGUCACUAUUUUUUUCGGAUUUUUAAAACAGCAAUACAUAGGUUUUGUAGAAUUCAAAAUACAGGACACUGGAAAGUGUAAAUAAUUUUCACUUCUUCAUUCUCACCAUGCAGGUGACUAAAAAAAUCAGUAACAUGUUUCAUGUAGUUCUCCAUCAUUUUUCUUUUUUGGUACCGGGGAUUGAACUCGGGUCCUUGCACUUGCGAGGCAGGCAGCAGAACCACUGAGCUAAAUCCCCAGCCCUCCCCGUCAUUUUUCUUUCAGUACUGAGGACUGAACUCAGGGCCCUCACACUGAGUCACACCCCACCCCCCAGCCCUUUUUUUUGUUUUUUAUUUUCCCAAGUUGCUAAUUGGCCCAGGCUGGGCUUGAACUUGCAACCCUCCUGCCUUAGCCUCCCCAAAUUCUGGGAUUGUAGGCAGACACCACCACACCUGGCCAUCAGUCAUGUUUGACUGCUGUAUUGUAGUCUGGGGGUGGGGCUUGAAAGGCCCACAUAGAAGACACCUGAGGCUUUGUGGCUACACGGUCUGUCACAGCCCCCUCCAGGAACCUCCCUCCCCACAGGGCGGGCUCAAGCUGCAGGUGUCACCUUUGGAGCCAGAGUUGGAGAAAGUCUAUUCUGUUGCUGCUUGGCCUUUCCCAGGGUCAAGGGUAAGCCACCCUUGCCAUUGUCCAGGAAUAUUCCUCGUGUGUCGAGCAGGCUUUUCCCCCGGCUUUUCUAUGAGGACCAACGCUGUGGAGAUUCACCUUCGACUCCUCCAGCGAGCCUGUUCCCCAUGCCAUGGACUCCAUGUCUGGAAGUGAACCCUCCCCAGCCCGGUCACCUCCGCCCAGCCCUCCUGUGCUGAGAAUCGGGCUCUUGUCUGGACUGCAGAUAGGGGAGUCCUAAGACGUUUGUCCUUUCGUCCUGGCUCGUUCUGCUCAGCAGUGUCUGCAGGUCCAUCCACAUGUGUGUGUGUGUGUGUGUGUGUGUGUGUGUGUGUGUGUGUGUGUGAGAAAUACACUUCAUUUGACUUUCCGUCCAUCCGCUGAUGAGCACUAAGGUGGUUUCUCACAGCUUCGUGAGAACAAUGGAAUCUGAGGAGCUGACUCUGGGUUUCGCCUCACCGGGGACAUGGGGAGUGCAUUGCUGAGCCAGGUGACAGUCGUGGUGUGACUCUCCAAGGAAGCUCCAAACUUUCGCACAGCAUCUGGGCCAGGAGGAAGCGGCCCCAGUGCCCGAGGCUCCUGCUCCUGUCUUCCAGAAUGACCCGUGGCCAGCUGUCCGAGGAGGACAAGGUAAUGCUUCUGCCAAAACGACCAUCCGUGGACUCACAGAAUGCUUCAUCCACCAUCAUGGAAUUCCUCACAACUUUGCCUCUGACCAAGGAGCACAUUUUACAGCAAAGAGGUGAGGCAAUGGGCUCCUGCUCAUGGAAUUCACUGGUCUUACCAUGUUCCUCAGCAUCCAGAAGUGCCUGGAUUGAUAGAAAGGUAGAAUUGGUCUUUUGAAGAUGCAGUUACAGCUCCAGCUAGGUGGCAGUAGCUUGCAGGGCUGGGGGAGGGUUCUUCCAAAGACUGUGUAUGCUUUGAAUCGGCAUUCACUGCAUGGUACUGGGUCUCCCAUACCCAGGAUUCCCAUUCCAGGAAUCAAGGGGUGGAAGUGGGAAUGGUACCACUCACUGUCAGCCCAGCGAUCCACUAGCAAAAGUUUUGCUUCCUGGGCCGGGGAUUUAGCUCCAGUGGUUCUGACGCCUGCACUGCAAGUGCAAGGACCUGAGUUUGAUCCCUGGUACCAAAAAAAAAAGUUUUGCUUCCUGUUCCCAUGACCUUAUGUUCUGCUGGCUUAGAAGCCUUAGUUCGGUGGAGAAGGCUUGUACCUGGAAGCACAACAAUGAUUCCAUUGAACUGGAAGCUAAGGCUCCCCUGGUCAUUUGGUCUCCUCAGGCCUCUGAGGAAAGAAGCUAAAAGGGAAUGAGAGUAUUGGCAGGCGUGACUGUCCCAGACAGACAUCAAGGGGAAACUGGACAGUUACUGCCCAACGGGGAGACAAGAAUACACUUGGAGUGCAGGAGAUCCCUUAGGACGCCUCCUAGUGGUACCAACCCAUGUUAUUAAAGUCAGUGGGAGGCCGGGAUUUAGCUCAGUGGCACUGUGCCUGCCUCCCAAGUGCAAGGUCCUGAGUUCAAUCCCGCUAUGAAAAAUGAAAGGAAAGGAGAAAGGGGAAAGUCAAAAGGAAUCUACAACAACCCAAUCCAGGAAGGAGGACAAAUGGGCCAGACCCUUCAGGAAUGAAGGUGUAGGUCACCCCACCAGGAAAAGUCAAGACCUGCCGAGCUGCUGAAGGGCAGGGAGUACAGGAUGGGGAGUAGAAGGUACUUUUAAAUACCAGCUACAACCCUGUGAUCAGCUACAGAAACAAGGCCUGUAACUGUGCAAGUUCUCUCCUAUGAUUUCAAUGCAAUAUAAGGCUGAGACUUAAUACCUGCACUUGCGUGUUGUUAAAUCUGUGUCAUAGUACUUAAGUUAUGAAAUGUUAGGGAUAAGCAUCACCCAAAGAAAGCUUGCCUUCUCUUCUGGGGAGGGAAUUAGGGCACUUGCAUUUGUAUGGAGGGCAGUAACAUGGUAGGCAGAGUCGUGCCUCGUCUUUAUACCUACAGACUGCGGUGUAAAGGAACGCCUCUGGGUGUUGAGGUGACCAGGCGUGGACAGUGAGUGGGUGUCAGCUUGAGUAGUAACACCCAGCUGGACUGGCUCAGCGUGGCUCUGCUGUGAAGACCCAGCUAGGGAGGACUGUGGCUGUAAUGCUACCCCAGGACAUGAAGGAGGGAGGGAGGGAGGCUUGUGUGUCCUCCAGGCUUCGCUUUCCCCUUGGAGGCCAUCUCCCAGCUUCCAGCGGACCUUCCGGCUCCUGAUUUGGACUGCAUGGGACACCACAUGGAGUUCCUGGGCUGUGGCUGGGUCCUUGGGACCCCGGGGUACAGACGGACCUUUCGCACUCAUCCCCACCCGACAGAAGCCAAGCCGCAAGUCUUAUCUAUUUGCAUAUUUUGUAUCACAUCUGCUUCUCUAGUAGGCACUGACACAUGUGUCAUGCGCAGGGACUGAGUGGUUCUUUCCCUUCUUCCCGGCUUUGUUUUAAGGCCCUAUGCUACAUCAGAUGUUGAACUAUCCCUGCAUUCCAGGAAAGCCCACCACAGUGUCACAAUGUAAACUCCUUUCAAUAAACAAUGAGUUCACGAGCUAUUGAACAAAUAGACUUAACAGAUGUUUACAGAGCGUUCCACCCCCACAAAAUCAGAAUACACAUUCUUUUUGGCUGCAUAUGGAUCGUUCUCCAAAAUAGACCACAUGCAAGCUCAUUGGACAUGUCUAAGUAAAAAAGGGGUAGGGAAAGUGGGAGGGGAAGGGGAAAGGAAAGAAAGGAAAGGAAAAAUUAUGAGAAAAGAAAAAAAAUGGAAAGGAAGUCUAUGUAAACAGGGAAGGGUGGAAGCGGUGAAGGGCACACAGGGAAUGGGGAAAAAAGAACCAAGUUAUAUCGUGUACAGGUACAAACACCCAAUGAUAAAUGUAAACGUACUGUAUACCUAAAAUGCACCAAUAAAAGAACUUAAGGAAAAAAUAAAAUAAAAUAAAUACUGAGUUCAGUUUCUUAGGAUUUUGUUGACUGUUUUGGAUUAAUAUUCAGAAGGGAGUUCAGUCUUAAAUGUUUUUGCACCCUCUGCCUCUGGCCUUGGUACAGGGUAAUUCUGGGCCCAG